AUUUUGUUGAGUGAACUUGGAGGAAAGAGAUUACUGCGAAAUCAAACGCUGUCUCUGUUCAGGUGCUCUACGCCUCCACCCUUUUCUCCCCUGUUCCCUUUUUAAUUUUCUUUUCGAGUAUUCUUGUUUUUGUGAAUUUGCAUAAACCCUAGGCAACAAAUUCGAAAAUUUCAUUGCCGAAUUAACAGUUUAUACUAUUUCAAACUUCUUCAAAAAGAAUUUCAGUGUAAAAUUUCCGAUUAUUGUUAUCUACCAAUUGAGUAACGCUUUUUCGAGGCUAGAUCAGUAUCGCGUCCGUGCUUAAUUAGAGAGGUGGGAGGCAUCAAGAGGGGCAGUACUGAAUUAAAGGUAUCAUCUUAUUACAUUGCAAUAGUGAGUUGGCAUUUGUUCACUACUUAUUGGGAUUGUUAAAUCUUAAAAGUUUAAACCUGGAGUUUUGAUUCGGUGCUGUCAACUGUGAUAGUAAUUUCUGUCAAUAUUGGGUACUGAGGUGGUGGCACUGAAAUUUGGUGAACUUUUGUGCAACUCUACUGGUAUUUUGAGCAGGGAUGUGAAUUUAGGGGGGAAUUCAUUGAGUUGAUGAUAGUAAUUAUAUGGGUUCAGCAGUGCUAAACUUUGUGCUAAAUCUGUGGCCUUUUACGGGCCUCAGAGUUGAUGACGUGACACUAUCUGAUCGUCUGGUUAGGAGAUUUUCACUUCCUGAACACACCCAGCAAUUUGUUUUUGCUAUUAGUGAGCCAGAAAAUGAGGCCAUUGUAUAUAUUCUUGCUGCACAAAAUUUGUCUGAAAGAUCAGCUAGAGAUGCUGAGUAUUUAAUAAGGGAAGUACGACCUGAUGCAGUUGUUGCCUUGGUUGGUCAUAAUACAUUGUCUGAAAUUCAUGAUCAUGAAAUGGUUGAAGGUAUGGAAGAUCUUGUUCCAACUUCAGUUUUUAGAGUUUUGAUGAGGUGUUUUAUGGACAAAAUAAACAAAGACAAUUAUGAAAAUCUUGCUGGAAACUUAGUUCUGAAAGAGAUAUUCGGUGUUGGCUUCUAUGGACACUUCUUUGUUGCAAAAAGGUUGGCAGAGGAAAUUGGUUCUUCAUUCUCGGUCAUUGAGUCUCCUUUGAUAAAGACAGCUAGUGCUGACAUUGAUCCUUCUACUGAGACUAGUAAAUCCAGUAACAUGCUUCAAACUUUGGCCUUGCAGCCAGCUAGCUUGGUUCCUCAAGAUUGGGGUUCCCUAGUUGGUAAUUCCCGAAGACUUAUGUAUAACAGUGAUGUCCAGUCGCAUAUGAUCACAUUGGUUUGUCCAUUCUUAUCCCAAUCAUUAACGAACUUGGGUAUUUCUGGCUCUCUUGAGGAUGGAGAGUCAGGUAUAAUGGAGUCCAGAUGCAAUUAUUGUCCCCCAUCAUUUGCCCAAACGGUUUAUCCCUUACUCAUGGAUCUUCAUAACAUUUUUGCUGACAUUCCAUCUAUAGGUCGUGCUCUGGCCUAUGCACAGAAAAUGUUUCUUGAUGUGGGUAAAGGAGAGGGCAUUGAUGCUGAUCUAUUGUCUGAAGUUUAUACCUUCAGAAUUGCAGUUGAGGGGCUGAGGAUUGCUCUGAAUAACGCUGGUAGACUCCCACUCCAUAAAUUAGGUAAAUGUAUGCCAAGCCAGAUUGAUUUUAAUGAGUUAUCAAUUGAGGAAAAAUCCCAUUGUCUUCUUGCCCAAACCCUACGCAGUCAGGCAAAGAAGUCUAAGACAGUAGUAGCAGUAGUGGAUGCUAGUUGCUUAACGGGUCUUCGGAAGUUUUGGAACACUCCAAUUCCCGAAGAAGUUAAGGAUAUGGUUGAAGAACUUAUCGUAUGCCAAGACAUUGAUGCAGAAAGCAUCAAUGAUAAAAGGAAGCGUCUGUUGUCUGGUAAACCUGUAGUGGCAGUUGCUUCUGGUGCUACUGCGGCUCUGGGGGCAUCUUCCCUUUCUAAAGUUGUCCCUGUGUCAUCUAUUGUAAAAGUUGUUAUGGUUAAUGUUCCAGCAUCUUUAAAACUUUUCCUUACACAAACACAUAAAGCAACUUUAUAUGCACUAACCAAAAUUCUUGGUCCAUCAAAAAUUGUGGCUCCGGGCUUUGCAACUUCUGGUGCUAAAGCAUCUACUGCACUUAAGGCAGCUGCUUCUGCGGAGAAAAUUCGAGUCAUUACUCAUAGUGUUAUAGCUUCUGCUGAAAAGACUAGCUUCUCAGCUAUGAGAACUACGUUCUAUGAGAUAAUGAGGAAACGACGGGUUCAACCGAUUGGUAGCAGGCCAUGGGCUACCUUUGGCUUUAGUGUGGUUAGCUGUGCGGGAUUGCUUGUUUAUGGUGAUGGAAUUGAAUGUGCUGCUGAAUCUUUCCCUGCAGCCCCUUCCAUUGCCAGCUUGGGCCGGGGUAUCCAAAAUUUGCAGCAAGUGUCACAAUCCAUUGGAAACUCAUGUGGAAAUAAGAUUCAGAAAGCUAUAGAGUCGUUGAUGUACAGGUUUAAAAAAGUGAAGAUCCAGUAGAAUGAGAAUCUAUGACUUCCUUUUUAUAUUAUCCUAGCUGUUAGUGGUAUUGAAUUCAUUGAUGAUACUUCAUCCCAUUGUCUGGAGAAUCAGGAGUACAUACAUAAUCCAACGAAGGGUGGGGGUUUGUAUUGAUGACUGGGCAGGAGUAAUAGGGCGGAGCCAGUGGUAAUGGAGUAGGGGCAGAAAAAGCAAGGUCUCAAGAAAUUUAAUGAGAAGAGGAAAAUCAAAGAAUAGGACAUCAAUCUGCUAUACAGGAAACUGUACAACCAAAAUAUCUGCCUUAUUACUACUGCUUUAGAGAUGAACCAGUUGAGCUUUGCUGCAAUUUUGUUUUGGUUUCUUUUGAAUUUUUCCUUUGGCUGAAAUGUUGAUGCUUAAUGUCUUUUGCUGGGUGAUUGAAAGGUAUUCUUUGUCAUUUGAUGUUUUCUGAGGUUGUAACGGAUAACUAUGCAUAUCUCUUCUAUUUUCGUCUCCAUUAAAUUGAGCAUUUCUGAUUUAUUACUUUGGUAUGAUUAAAGGCUCUUCUAUUUUGUCUCGUUUAUUGAUGCUUUACUAUUUGACUUUCAUGACAGGUUGGAUUACUAUCAAUUGAAAGGCCAUUUACCUGAAAUCAGAGGGACUACAAGGUCUAUGCAUUUUCCCCAUGGCAGUUACUGACCAGAAAAGACAAACAAAGGUAAUUUAUUUGUGUUUUUUGCCAUUAGGAUACUUUGUUAAGGUUUAAUCUUGUGCAUUUUCUGCAGUAAUUUUCUCAUUGACUUGCCUAUGUGCUAACUUGGCUGUCUGGCUAGAUUACGAUAUUUUUAUUAAAUUUAAAUUGAUAUUUUCUUCCAUAGCUCAUUUCAAAUGCACCUAGGCUACAUGGAUUAGUCUAUCACUUGUGCUUUUAUUCACUAGCCAUUCAAACGGUUUUAAUCUCAAGCAUUGUUAUCUUACUGGUUUGUUGGAGAUGUUUGAUGCAUGCAGCUAUAGCUUCCUGGGAUGAGAGAGAGAGAGAGAGAGAGAGAGAGAGAGAGAGAGAGAGAGAGAGAGAGGGGGGGGGGGGGACCUGUUAAAAAAGAUAUAGUAAGCCUUUUUGAAUGUCGUUUGAUUUUUCUUUGUUUGUCCUAUAUAAUUUUCUUAUUAAAUAUCUGUGUACUCAAAGUCUAUACAUUGCCAAAAUCGUCCAAAUUUAAUUGAGUUGUUGCCGGCUGCCUGCUUAUUUCCAUUUCUGUUACCCAUUUCAUUCAUAAUACUAUUUCUCUGUUAGAAAUAGAUGGAAUUUAUAUUAUAUAUGUUUAGGAUGUUUAAAUGGUUGGUGAUACUAAAAUUCCAAAUGAUAUACAAAAGUGAAUCAUAACAAUUAAUUUAAUUUGCAAAUUACAGAGCAUGUCAUUUAUACAAAUGAGUUUAACUCACAAUGGAAAGAAAUUAAUUACAACUUAUAUUUAAUUCAAAUUUCAUAGAGGUGGGUUUUGAAAAUUUGUUAGUGAAGAAUAGUUCAGCAUUAUUUCCCUCCAAAAAUUUACAAAUUCAAAAAAAUCUAAUGUCUCAAUAAAGUAGGUGAAUAAUCUAUUUCCUGGAAGAAUUGAUUGAAAUAAUUAAUUAUUGCACUAGACAGAAUGGAAAUUGCAGUGAAAAUAAUAUUACUUCCAGAAAGCACUCAUUUAUAUAAUUUCUUGUGUCUUGAGGGUGGAGAAGAGAAAAUUUUCUUCGACAAGCAGUUUGCAUUUGGUGACGGUGAGUAGAUAUUAGAGGUAAUUACCAUAUUUUUCUUCGACAAGCAAUUAGGUGAUGGUGAGUAGACAUUAUAGGUAAUUACCAUUAAUUGUUGGUAUUAGCUAGGCCUAGAAAGAUAGAGGUGAAGGCAAAGUAUUUUAGUGAGAUGAAAUAAGGAGAUAAAAGAGUCACAGGAAAAGGAGGAGAACGAGCUUGCUGCUGUAUUGGCUGCUACUUGUCUGUUGUUCACCUGGUGGUGACUGAUGAAUUCACAAGAGGAGAUAUGAUAGAAAGGGGAAAUUAGAAAAGCAGCUAGGUAGGUCUGGCUGUACGAGUUUUCAGUUGAAAUUCUCUACUUAUGGGCCUUUGUAGAUGAUUAUUAGGACAAGGAAUGAUUCUAUAUAUGCAAUUCAAUGGGCAUCCCAACACUAAGUUUAGUCAAUUCCAGAAUUUCUGAUGGUUUAUGUAUUGUGUAAGUUAAAUAAUUUAUAUAUAUACCUGAAAUCCUUUAUCCAGUUGCACCAUUUGAUUAUUUUUAGAAAUUGUUGUAUUGGAGUGGUAAGAUGUCAUUAACAUUUUGGUUUGAAAUAUGUACACCAACAAAAAAUAGUGGUUGCUUAAUUUGUACUCCGUAUGAUUGCUUUAGAUAGCUCUUCCUUGCCCUUCUCAUGUUUAAUGACUGUAACGUCUGUGAGGUUUUAAUACUGGAUGUGUUUUGGCUGGGUUGGAUUUAAAUUUCAGAGUUAAUCCUUAGGCAUAAUAUUUUGCAUUCCUCUUGAAUGCCUAUCUUCCACUUGUCAGAAAAUUCAUGGGUGCAAAAUAUUGCACUUAGGCUUCAUCUAUAGACCAACAUAGCUAAACUACUGAUUAUACGAAAAGGAGAACAAAUAUAGCCAUACAUGCACAGUUCAUGUCCUCUCUCCUCUCUUGAGGAUGCACAAACAAGAACUAAGCCAAGCAUAUAAAAGCAAGAUGGAGUAGCAUUCAAAUAUAGGAAGGGGAUUUGUAGUCGAUUAAAUCUCCCGAAUCUAUUUCAAGCAAGUUUAAGCACAAACAUCACCAAAUUAUUACUCUAAAGAAACUACAACAAUGAAUAGACUAAUGAACACAACAAUCAACAACCAAACUCAAUUGCUAAAUCAAGAGCCUACAAUCUAGCAUCAUCUCUAAAUGACUACGCUAGAAAGUAGCAAGUAAGCAUUCAUAUAGCCAUAAUAAACACCAACAAGAAACUUUCAAUUUAACAAACCACAACCAAUCAUACAUAUUCCUUGAUAUUCAAAUGAUCUUGGUUCAUAGUAUGGUUGAGCUUUCACCCAACCCUUAACUAAUAAACUACUAAUUAAUCAUACUAAUCAACUCAUGCAACAUUCUAACAUAAUUGAUUUCCAUGGAUAUCCUAUAGAUGAAUUAAAAACAAUCAAGAUUACAAAUAAUAAGAUAACCAACCCUGAUUAAGAUUAAUUCAACCAUAAACACUCAUUAAUAUGACAAGAAAGCAAGUUAAAUCCAUUAAAAGUCAACAACAAAGAGAAUAGAGUAGAGAAAAAGAUUACUAAGAGCUUUAAAUUCUAAAAUUUCACUUCAAAUUGUUUAACUUCAAUGUUGCUAAUUCAAGAUUACAUAAACUAAGGAAGAAAAAAGGCUAAAGCAGCUAGACCUAGAAAUAUGUGCUUAAAACCUAAACAUCUCUCCUCAUUGGCGAUCUCGCUGCUUUGUAUGCUAACUUAGAAAUUAAUUACAAUAUAAAGAUAGAAAACAAAGGUGUGAAACUACAACGGAGGCCAGGCGCGAAUGUGUUAGAAAGAUUUUAAAGAUGGAAUUUGUAGAUAGAGAACAUUGUGAAACACAACUAAUUAAGACUUCAUUAAUUAAUUUCCAUGCUUUAUGAGUACAAUAGAGAGGCUAUAUAUAAGCUUAACAUUAACAAACUAAAUCUAGAAAGUAGGACUCUCUAACUAACCCACUAACUGAUCCACCACUAGACUACUCCACUAAGUAAAAUAGUCCACUGCUAUUACUAAGCCAUGCACACCUCCACUAACCACUCAAUAGCUACCACACGUUUUUAAACAUAGGAAUUUAAUUUUGGCUUAGGAUUGAAACUGGAUUAGCUCAAAUACCAUCACUAAUGAUCUUAUUGUGAGUAAAGUGUUAAGAAGUCUUCACAAAAUGAAAGACUAUGAGCAUGCUAUUACCACAAUUUUAGAGUCUAAGGACUUAUCAACUUAAACAUUUGAUGAGUUGAUAGAUCUUUGAUGGCUCAUGAAGAAAGAAUGAAUAAGUCUACGAAUGAAAACGUUGAGGAGAAAACCUUUCAAGUUAAGGGGCAAAAAUCAGAUGAUCGGCAUUAUGAUAAAGGUCGUGGUCGUAGUCAUGGUCGCGGUAUGGGCAGUCGUGGUUGUGUUCGUGAUGGAGAUGGUCGUGGUUGAUUCGAAGGACAACGUUAAUCCAUGAGUAGCAUUCAAUGCUACUAUUGCAAAAGGUAUGGUCGAAAGAAGAAAUUACCAAACAAAUGAAGAACUUGGCGCUUGAGAUUUUGAAGGUUUAACAACGGAAAUUUGCUCUCUAUCUACUUUCUCUUUUUAAUAAUUAAGCUAAUCUUGGUUUAAAAUUUGAUAAAAUCCAUAUUACAUGAUAUAUACUACCUAUAAUCCCCCAAAAAUUAGCUCAAAAGAGCUUAAAAUAAGGUGAUUCAUACCCAUAGGUGCGACCACUCCAAAUAGCAGCACGAUCGCGCCUUCGAAUGGAGUAAUUGCUCCCGCUAAUCCAAAUGUUGAUGUAAAAAGUGAUAAAUGAAAGCAAAAGAUAAAGCUUAACAAAUAAUAAACUGAUAUUGCUUCUUCAUAAUUCUACGUGAUAAAAACUUAAGUACAAAAGAAAUUCUAUCAUUUAAAUAGGCUAACACUAAGCAUAAUUAACUUCCUAAUAUUAAGGCCCACUAAUAACAAACUACCACUCAAAAUUGGAGAAGUAUACUCCACAUACUACCACUAACAAUUCUUAUCAACUGUAUACAAAUUUAAUUGACUCCUAAGAUUAAGCCACUAACUACCUAAGGAAUAGGAAACAAUAACCACUUAAUAUUUUGAAGCAAUACACCAACACCAAAUACAUCACUAGGUCGUUCCUUUGCAAUCUUUAAGAGUGAUCGCUCUUAAUUUUAAAGCGGCCGCUUUAGGCCUUCUAUUCGAGCACUUGGAGAGCCAAAUGCACAUAGAUCAUAGCGUUUGCUCCUCUCCUCUGUUACUCCUUGUAUUUUUUUUUUUCAUUUCCAAGGACUUUGGGCUCCAAGUGAUGUUCCCGGAUCAUAAUAAUGAUGUUCCCGAGCAUUCUUUUUGAGGAAUCAUACAAACUCAUGAGCAAUAGGGAAGGGAUCAGGAUAGGAGGGAAAGCGAGCAUAAAUCAUUUUAAUUCAUGUAAUUAUAAUCAAAGUACUACCAAGUGAAGAGUAAAGAGAUUAGGUCAAACUACAAAAAAAGGGGUUAAUAAUGCGAGAUAAAGGACUAAAUUACGGGGUUAAUGAGUUAUAAAAGUGGCCUAAAAACCACUUAUUAUACACCCCUAACUUACAAACGAAACAAAAAAAGAAAAAAAAAAAA